rnacentral:rRNA from 1 species
GUGGGGAAUAUUGCACAAUGGGGGAAACCCUGAUGCAGCGACGCCGCGUGAGCGAAGAAGUAUUUCGGUAUGUAAAGCUCUAUCAGCAGGGAAGAUAAUGACGGUACCUGACUAAGAAGCUCCGGCUAAAUACGUGCCAGCAGCCGCGGUAAUACGUAUGGAGCAAGCGUUAUCCGGAUUUACUGGGUGUAAAGGGAGCGUAGACGGUUUGGCAAGUCUGAUGUGAAAUUUCAGGGCUUAACCCUGAACCUGCAUUGGAAACUGUCGAACUAGAGUGUCGGAGAGGUGAGUGGAAUUCCUAGUGUAGCGGUGAAAUGCGUAGAUAUUAGGAGGAACACCAGUGGCGAAGGCGGCUCACUGGACGAUAACUGACGUUGAGGCUCGAAAGCGUGGGGAGCAAACAGGAUUAGAAACCCUGGUAGUCC